GAGUUUGAUCGUGGCUCAGAUUGAACGCUGGCGGCAGGCCUAACACAUGCAAGUCGGGCGGUAGAGAGAAGCUUGCUUCUCUUGAGAGCGGCGGACGGGUGAGUAAUGCCUAGGAAUCUGCCUGGUAGUGGGGGAUAACGCUCGGAAACGGACGCUAAUACCGCAUACGUCCUACGGGAGAAAGCAGGGGACCUUCGGGCCUUGCGCUAUCAGAUGAGCCUAGGUCGGAUUAGCUAGUUGGUGAGGUAAUGGCUCACCAAGGCGACGAUCCGUAACUGGUCUGAGAGGAUGAUCAGUCACACUGGAACUGAGACACGGUCCAGACUCCUACGGGAGGCAGCAGUGGGGAAUAUUGGACAAUGGGCGAAAGCCUGAUCCAGCCAUGCCGCGUGUGUGAAGAAGGUCUUCGGAUUGUAAAGCACUUUAAGUUGGGAGGAAGGGCAGUAAAUUAAUACUUUGCUGUUUUGACGUUACCGACAGAAUAAGCACCGGCUAACUCUGUGCCAGCAGCCG
rnacentral:rRNA from 1 species